rnacentral:rRNA from 1 species
CGUGCACGGCUCAGAGAUGGGUUUUCCUCCUUGUGGGGCUGGUGUACAGGUGGUGCAUGGUUGUCGUCAGCUCGUGUCGUGAGAUGUUGGGUUAAGUCCCGCAACGAGCGCAACCCUCGUUCUAUGUUGCCAGCACGUGAUGGUGGGGACUCAUAGGAGACUGCCGGGGUCAACUCGGAGGAAGGUGGGGAUGACGUCAAAUCAUCAUGCCCCUUAUGUCUUGGGCUUCACGCAUGCUACAAUGGCCAGUACAAUGGGUUGCGAUACCGUGAGGUGGAGCUAAUCCCAAAAAGCUGGUCUCAGUUCGGAUCGUGGUCUGCAACUCGACCACGUGAAGUCGGAGUCGCUAGUAAUCGCAGAUCAGCAACGCUGCGGUGAAUACGUUCCCGGGCCUUGUACACACCGCCCGUCAAGUCACGAAAGUUGGUAACACCCGAAGCCGGUGGCCUAACCCUUGUGGGGGGAGCCGUCGAAGGUGGGACUGGCGAUUGGGACUAAGUCGUAACAGGGUUAGCCGUA